rnacentral:rRNA from 1 species
UACGAAGGGGGCUAGCGUUGUUCGGAAUUACUGGGCGUAAAGCGCACGUAGGCGGCUUGGUAAGUCAGAGGUGAAAUCCCGGAGCUCAACUUCGGAACUGCCUUUGAUACUGGCAAUCUAGAGUCCGGAAGAGGUUAGUGGAAUUCCCAGUGUAGAGGUGAAAUUCGUAGAUAUUGGGAAGAACACCAGUGGCGAAGGCGGCUAACUGGUCCGGUACUGACGCUGAGGUGCGAAAGCGUGGGGAGCAAACAGG